GACGAACGCUGGCGGCGUGCUUAACACAUGCAAGUCGAACGGAAAGGCCCUGCUUUUGUGGGGUGCUCGAGUGGCGAACGGGUGAGUAACACGUGAGUAACCUGCCCUUGACUUUGGGAUAACUUCAGGAAACUGGGGCUAAUACCGGAUAGGAGCUCCUGCUGCAUGGUGGGGGUUGGAAAGUUUCGGCGGGUGGGGAUGGACUCGCGGCUUAUCAGCUUGUUGGUGGGGUAGUGGCUUACCAAGGCUUUGACGGGUAGCCGGCCUGAGAGGGUGACCGGCCACAUUGGGACUGAGAGACGGACCAGACUCCUACGGGAGGCAGCAGUGGGGAAUAUUGCACAAUGGGCGGAAGCCUGAUGCAGCAACGCCGCGGGCGGGAUGACGGCCUUCGGGGUGUAAACCGCUUUCGCCUGUGACGAAGCGUGAGUGACGGUAAUGGGUAAAGAAGCACCGGCUAACUACGUG
rnacentral:rRNA from 1 species